GAAGUUUGAGGCAAUAACAGGUCUGUG
rnacentral:misc_RNA from 1 species